rnacentral:lncRNA from 1 species
GCAAAUGGGCCUGGGUCUUCAGAUCACAUGGGGGAAUUUCUUUUAGAGGAGGUGAUUCUCAUGUGCACCAUGGAAGAACGUGGCUGCCAUGGAUCUCCCCCCACAAGGAAGGGGAAACAAAGCAGGGGAUGUUCCCUGAACACACUUGAAUGUUUGAAUCCCAGUUUCAGGACCUGGUUCUUCAAAGCCCCUGCUGCAAGCGGCUCACUGACCCUCUGCAGCUUCUUUCUGAUCCCAUCGCCUCAUCUACAGGGCAGGGGGACAGAUGCCAUGACACCCAGCUCCAUCCUGCCUCCCCACCAGGCUCUGAAUCAAGGUCCAUCACCUCUGCUUUUUAUGCCAGCGGAUCCCUGAGCUGCCUGAUAGUUCGUGACUCCACCUGGCGAUGACUCCUCAUCAGGAAGCUGAGCCCCUCCGGAUGCCUCAGAAAGAGAAACCAGCACUUCCCCACAUGGCUCUUCAGUGGCCGCCACCCUGGACAUCGGAGCUGUGGCUUCUCCUGCUGGAUGGAUGCCCACAGCCCUGGAGAGAGCACGGAUGUGAGGACUUGAAAGGCUCCCACUUAUCACCGAGGAAGCAGGAGGAGGACAAGAGCCCCUCUGCCUCUGGAGAGAGAGACCCGGAACCUGGUGCUCCAACCAAAUGCUGUAGCUGGGACCAUCCAUCUUGGAGAAGCGGUCCAGGCCAACUGGAAAGUGUCCAGAGGUGCCACAGCCACGCUGAGUCCAAGGAAACAGUGCCGAGCAUCCAGAGUCACAGGGGCAGCAGCCAAGAAGAUGGUUCCCGAGGUUCACCUUUGCCUGGCCUCGUUUCCCACUGCGCCCUGGUUUGUGCCUUCUGCUCACACUGGAUGCUGCCUUGCCUUUCAGUUUCAGUGGAGACUUCCAUAGCAGCAGCAGCAGCAGCAGCAGCAGCAGCAGCAGCAGCAGCAGUCACCCUGGUGUGUCAAACCCAGCCUCCAUCUUCCUGUGGCCACUGUCUUCAAAUCCAGGUUCAAGUACACCUGAGGGUCUACAGACUUUCAAGGGGGUAA